CGGCGGGACACCCCUCCCCAACGGGGGGCUUAUAUCUGGAAGGAUACCAUGU
rfam:Rhodobacterales bacterium RIFCSPHIGHO2_02_FTLL_62_130 rifcsphigho2_02_scaffold_128, whole genome shotgun sequence.